UCCUACGGGAGGCAGCAGUGGGGAAUAUUGGACAAUGGGCGCAAGCCUGAUCCAGCCAUGCCGCGUGAGUGAUGAAGGCCCUAGGGUUGUAAAGCUCUUUCACCGGUGAAGAUAAUGACGGUAACCGGAGAAGAAGCCCCGGCUAAUUUCGUGCCAGCAGCCGCGGUAAUACGAAGGGGGCUAGCGUUGUUCGGAUUUACUGGGCGUAAAGCGCACGUAGGCGGAUCGAUCAGUCAGGGGUGAAAUCCCAGAGCUCAACUCUGGAACUGCCUUUGAUACUGUCGAUCUGGAGUAUGGAAGAGGUGAGUGGAAUUCCGAGUGUAGAGGUGAAAUUCGUAGAUAUUCGGAGGA
rnacentral:rRNA from 1 species